AUGGGCGGCGGGGCGCCGCGCUCUACCUCGGCACCAACGCCCUCUGCGACGUCGAGGGCGGCCACCGGGCCAUCGUCUUCGACCGCCUCGAGGCCGGGGGUCGAGGGCGGCCACCAGGCCAUCGUCUUCGACCGCCUCGAGGCCGGGGGUCGAGGGCGGCCACCAGGCCAUCGUAUUCGACCGCCUCGAGGCCGGGGGUCGAGGGCAAGGUCUAGGCACCCCGAGGGGACUCGCAUCGUACCUCAUCCCGUGGGUGGAUUCGAGAGGCCGAUCAUCCAGGACCCAAUUUCGUGGAGAGCACCUCCGGGAGCAGGGGUCUCCAGAUGGUGUGAAUUGGUCUUCGUGUUCUUACACGACCCAUGCCAGAGAGACUUCCAACUAUGUACAAGACAGGAGAAUUAA
rnacentral:rRNA from 1 species